rnacentral:lncRNA from 1 species
CUCUGCGCUGUUUGCAUACGUGCUCUAAUCUUUUGAAUAGCCUCAUUAGUAGACCGAACUAAUUCAGGUCCCAUCAACCUAUGUUCACCAACCUCACUCCAACAAACAGGGGUUCUACAACAUUUGCCAUACAAAGCCUCAAAUGGUGCCAUACCGAUGGUAGCCUGGAAACUGUUGUUAUAAGCAAACUCCAUCAAAUGUAGAUGAGAGUCCCAAC